rnacentral:rRNA from 1 species
UGGGGAAUAUUGGACAAUGGGCGAAAGCCUGAUCCAGCCAUGCCGCGUGUGUGAAGAAGGUCUUCGGAUUGUAAAGCACUUUAAGUUGGGAGGAAGGGCAGUAAGCGAAUACCUUGCUGUUUUGACGUUACCGACAGAAUAAGCACCGGCUAACUCUGUGCCAGCAGCCGCGGUAAUACAGAGGGUGCAAGCGUUAAUCGGAAUUACUGGGCGUAAAGCGUGCGUAGGUGGUUCGUUAAGUUGAAUGUGAAAGCCCCGGGCUCAACCUGAGAACUGCAUUCGAAACUGGCGGACUAGAGUAGGGCAGAGGGUAGUGGAAGUUCCUGUGUAGCGGUGAAAUGCGUAGAUAUAGGAAGGAACACCAGUGGCGAAGGCGACCAACUGGGCUCAUACUGACACUGAGGUGCGAAAGCGUGGGGAGCAAACAGG